CCUCCUCUUACAACUCCAUGUAGAAAUGUUGGUGUGGUCAUCCGUGAUGAGCACGACCUUAAUGUUAUCCGUGUUCGUGCGGCAAAAGAUAAAGAAAAGGUCAACCCAAUGUCUAAAGGAAAAGAAAAGAUGGCUCCUUCCGGCAAGAGAAUGACAAAUGCAUGUCAAGUGGUAUAUAUUCUUUUUU